AUGGGCGUUGGCCGGAGGUGGGCUAGGCUGUGUGCGCUGGGUCGGCGUGGAUCGGGAUCGGAGGGUCACGGUCUGCGGCGUUUCCGGUCUGGCGGAGGUUGGGAUGCGUCACGGUGUGCAGAAAAUCUGGGUUGCUCUGGAUUGCUCUUAACAACUUUGAGUGAUGAUGAUGGAGAAAACAGUUUUUUUUUAAAAGGUGGUGAAGAUUAA